UCUGAUAUUGUGCUCAGUUCCAGUAAG
rnacentral:sRNA from 1 species